rnacentral:lncRNA from 1 species
CAUGUGAAAAAGUUCUUUUUUGCUGAACAAUCCAGGCAGGACGAAGAAGAAAAGGAACGAGAAUCCAUUGCACGAAACAAUCAAGAAGUGAAGAAAGAAAAGACGGGAUACAUCGGACCUCGGCCAGCCGUAUCACCGUAACUUCAGUGAGUCAGUCAGCAUGACCAGCAAUCGCGGACAGCAGCGGGAGACGAUGACCUCAGCACCAUGGGCUAUAAAAUCUACAGACGACUUCAGACUCCUCAGAGGGCACGCUGGUGAUUGCGCCGGCAAGAUGCUUAAAUUACAAUGGUCUUCACUACAGAUACUGCUGUGGCAGUCUUUCUACACCAGCAAAGUCGACUGCGGGAAUGCAAGACCAGUAGCUGCGGCGUCAUGUGCUGUCAACCUGCAGUACGUCCCUGAUAAUCAAACGCAAUCCUGGCACCUGCAAAGUGGGUUUCCCGUCAUUGACGACAACAGAACAAGAAAGUAUGCGCCGGAAAACCAAGGAUCAGCUACUGCGACAGAGGCGUGGCUGCUCUCCAAACUGCCCCUGGAAACGCUGCGGCUUUAGUAGGCUCGGCGGCACAAUCGAAGCAGGGAUGUCAUAUUGCUUCCUGUUCUACGUACAGGUUAGUAGAAAAUACUUCUACAAGUGUUUUAAACACGAUUGCAGGACCUUGAUAAUGCUGCCGAGCCUACGCAGCUUGUGUAACAUAAUCUCCGAGUGUUGGAGUGUGAUUGCAAUAUUGUUACAUCUUAGUGGCAGUGUCGAGCACAAUCCUGGGCCUGACACUAUUAUUAUGCAACAGCUGCUCGAAAGUAAGAAACAGAUUGCCUGGGAUGUUGCUGAGAUCAUGAUAAACCAAAACAGUUUUGGUCAACGACUAGAAUCCAUACAGUCUUC